ACGAGUGGCGGACGGGUGAGUAACGCGUAGGAAUCAGCCCAAUAGUGGGGGACAACCCGGAGAAAUCCGGGCUAAUACCGCAUACGCCCUACGGGGGAAAGGAGGGGAUCUCUUCGGAGACCUUUCGCUAUUGGAUGAGCCUGCGUCGGAUUAGCUUGUUGGUAGGGUAACGGCCUACCAAGGCGACGAUCCGUAGCUGGUCUGAGAGGACGAUCAGCCACACUGGGACUGAGACACGGCCCAG
rnacentral:rRNA from 1 species